GACGAACGCUGGCGGCGUGCUUAACACAUGCAAGUCGAACGGAAAGGCGCUGCUUUUGUGGGGUGCUCGAGUGGCGAACGGGUGAGUAACACGUGAGUAACCUGCCCUUGACUUUGGGAUAACUUCAGGAAACUGGGGCUAAUACCGGAUAGGAGCUCCUGCUGCAUGGUGGGGGUUGGAAAGUUUCGGCGGUUGGGGAUGGACUCGCGGCUUAUCAGCUUGUUGGUGGGGUAGUGGCUUACCAAGGCUUUGACGGGUAGCCGGCCUGAGAGGGUGACCGGCCACAUUGGGACUGAGAUACGGCCCAGACUCCUACGGGAGGCAGCAGUGGGGAAUAUUGCACAAUGGGCGGAAGCCUGAUGCAGCAACGCCGCGUGCGGGAUGACGGCCUUCGGGUUGUAAACCGCUUUCGCCUGUGACGAAGCGUGAGUGACGGUAAUGGGUAAAGAAGCACCGGCUAACUACGUGC
rnacentral:rRNA from 1 species